AUCAUUCAGCCUUUCCCAAAUAUCUGAUGUUAGCUUUAUGGAUCCUCAUUUGCCAAGUAUUCUUAGUUAGGGCCACCUUUGAGGGUGCAAAUACUCAAAUACACAGACUCAAAAGAAAUGCACAAUGAAUCAAAUAUGGAUCUUAAAAUAAGACAACAUUCUUGGAUCAUGCUUACCUGAACCCCUAGAGAAUAUCCUUUGUCUAAGCUGAUUAGCCAUGCUAAAGUAUUUUGAACUCUUGCAGUUCAUAAAAUCAUAAUUGAAUCUCACUUUCCUUGAUCCAACUCUUAAUUAUCUAGAGGAUUAGAUUUGCUACUAAAUCCACAACUAGGCAUAUAUUUUUGGUACUUUUCUAUGGAGCAGAAGACAACAUUAUGUCAAUGAAGUUUUACAUUAACAAAUCAAACUCGAUGAAUACAUAGUGUGGAUUAUACUGGAGAGAAAAGCAAGUAGAGAUUAAAAUGGAUCAAUAUACAAACCAAAUAUCAUUGGAUUAGAGAUGCCAACUAAAAUAAGAUCCACAGAGAAGCAUUAUUCCCAUCAAAACAGCCAUAUAAGGCAAUUAUAGUUAUAC
rnacentral:lncRNA from 1 species